GCCGGGCGCGGUGGCGCGUGCCGGUAGUCCUAGCUAUUCGGGAUGCUGAGGCUGGAGGAUCUCUUGAGUUCAGGAGUUCUGGGCUGUAGUGCGCUAUGUCGAUCAGGUGUCCACACUAAGUUCGGCAUCAAUAUGGUGACCUCCCAGGAUCGGGGGACCACCAGGUCGCCUAAGGAGGGGUGAACUGGCCCAGGUAGGAAACGGAGCAGGUCAAAACUCCUGUGGUGAUCAGUAGUGGGAUCGCGUCUGUGAAUAGCCACUGCACUCCAGCCUGGGCAACAUAGUGAGACCCCAUCUCU
rnacentral:SRP_RNA from 1 species